CCUACGGGCGGCUGCAGUGAGGAAUCUUGCGCAAUGGGGGAAACCCUGACGCAGCAACGCCGCGUGAGUGAGGAAGGUCUUCGGGUCGUAAAGCUCUGUCAGGCGGGAAGAAAUGCAUGGAGGUGAACAGCCGCCAUGCUUGACGGUACCGCCAGAGGAAGCACCGGCUAACUCCGUGCCAGCAGCCGCGGUAAUACGGGGGGUGCAAGCGUUGUUCGGAAUCAUUGGGCGUAAAGAGCGUGUAGGCGGCUUGGUAAGUCAGAUGUGAAAGCCCUGGGCUCAACCCGGGAAGUGCAUUUGAAACUGUCAGGCUCGAGUAGGGGAGAGGGAAGUGGAAUUCCUGGUGUAGAGGUGAAAUUCGUAGAUAUCAGGAGGAACACCGGUGGCGAAGGCGACUUCCUGGCCCUAUACUGACGCUGAGACGCGAGAGCGUGGGUAGCAAACAGGAUUAGAUACCCGAGUAGUC
rnacentral:rRNA from 1 species